CACUCGCACAACGGAUCAGACAAUCAGACAGUGUGUUAGGGCUCAGGAGCCCAAUGAAUUAGGAGUUUGAUAAGGGUUUUCUCUUUCUCUCCCUCGCUGGACGCUGACAAUCCCCCCCAGUUUUCUUGGACACCACCCCCAGGGCCGCCAGCCCCCACCCCCUCUACCCGCCCUUCUUCCCUAUGCCUGGGCUCGGGUUUGGGGCCUUGAAACAGUGAGCCGUCUUUGUUCGAAAUACAGGUGAACGGCAAUCAUGUGAUGUACACCACACACACUCACACACACACUCUCUCUCACAUAAAAAGCUUUUUGAGAGCAGCCGGCGGGCCAGCCUCAGAACCGAUGGGACAGGCGCCCCAGCCACAGGCAGCCUCCCGGCCUGGCCUCCCUUCCUCCCUCCUUCCAUCCCUCUGCUGCUGCCAGCCUCCAGCCCCGGCUUCUUGCUCCCGCCUUAAGGGGAGAGCUCUCAGAGAAGCAGAAGCAUCUAUAUUGGAAGCAAAGGGCCAUCAGCAGAAAAGCCAUCAGUGAGAAAUGCUGAUUGAAUGAAACCGAGUCAAAGAAUGGUCUGCCACAAGCUUUUAGCCAGGAUCAGGCACAAGGACACAAAGCUUCUAAAGCUAAGAGGCAUGACUCUUCUUCCCAUCAAGGCCAACGCGCCUCUGUCAUCUCCCAAGAUUCCCCAGGCUACAAAAGUGGAAGGACAUCUUUAAGGAUUUGUCAUGAGUGGAAAUGGGGUUGGGAGAAGUGGUGGGUUAGCUGGGAGCUCAGGACUCCACUGGAAGCCACCCCUUCUCUUCCCCACCCCUGCCUUGCACCCAGAUAUGCUGCCACCUAAAGUUCUCCCACGACUUGGAAGACUAGAAUCGACAUUUCUUUGCUUUCCCAUAGCACAGACCAUCAACAAGGGUUCACCUCCUCUCUGGCCUUUCUCUCUGCAGAUGGGGUGGGGCCAUGGCCAGCAACGAUUGCUCUAAGGCUCUGCUUCGGCAUGCAUUGGGUUGGGUGCCCUCCAUCCCCACCUCCUUUCCAUUAUCACUUUCGCUGAGUGGAGAGGAGUCCACAACCCAGGGCACAGGGGGAGGAGACCUGGAAAGCAGCUAAAUAAAGUCCUUGAGAUCACA